rnacentral:snRNA from 1 species
CAGCAGGACGGUGGUCAUGG